rnacentral:rRNA from 1 species
UACAGAGGUCCCGAGCGUUGUUCGGAUUCACUGGGCGUAAAGGGUGCGUAGGUGGUGAGGUAAGUCUGAUGUGAAAGCCCUGGGCUCAACCUGGGAAUGGCAUUGGAUACUGGCGACCUAGAGUGCGGUAGAGGGGUGUGGAAUUCCCGGUGUAGCAGUGAAAUGCGUAGAUAUCGGGAGGAACAUCUGUGGCGAAGGCGACACCCUGGACCAGCACUGACACUGAGGCACGAAAGCGUGGGGAGCAAACAGG